rnacentral:rRNA from 1 species
UUAAUAAAGAUUAUACAUUUAAUUUUCCCGAACUUAGAAGAGCUAAUUUAAUAUAUAUAUUAUUGUGGAAUAAAUAUUUAUAAUAUUUAGUUGGUAAUGAAACGUUAUUCGUUUCUAAAUAUAUCUGGUUUUUUUAGAAAUAAAUUUAAUUUAGCUUAGUUUAUAUAAUUAGUUUAGUUUUUAGCUAGUUUUAUAUUUGAGGUAAUGUAUUGAGGGAUGAGCUUUAAUACAAAAUAUUAUAAAUAAAUAAUUGGGUUAAAUUAAGUAGGAUUAGAAGUUUCCAUUUUUAGAAGGGUGUUAUAACCUAUUUUAGGGGGUAUUUAAUUUUUAUUUAUUUUAAAUUUUUUAUGAAAAUGUAAUUUUUACUUUUAAUUGGUUAGUAAUAAUGGUAAAAUUAGUAUAUGGGUUUUUAUGGUUAAUGGGGAGUGCUAGGUUAAUAAAAGGAAUUCGGCAAAUAAUUUUUCACCUGUUUAUUAAAAACAUGGCCUUUUGGAUUAUAAUUUAAGGUUUAGCCUGCCCACUGAGGUUUUAAAUGGCCGCGGUACUCU